rnacentral:rRNA from 1 species
AACGAACGCUGGCGGCAGGCCUAACACAUGCAAGUCGAACGAGACCUUCGUAUCAGGUUGCGCACGGGUGCGUAACGCGUCGGAAGCUUCCCUUAGGUUCCGGAUAACUCUCCGAAGGGGGUGCUAAUGCCGGAUAAUGUAUUCGUACCAAAGAUUUAUCGUGUUUGGAUGAGCCCGCGUUUGAUUAGCUUGUUGGUAGUGUAAAAGCCUACCAAGGCGUCGAUCCUUAGCUGGGCAGAGAGGAUGAUAAGCCACUCUGGGACUGAGCCACGGCCGAGACUCCUGCGGGAUGCAGCAGUGGGUAAUAUUGCAAAACCGGCGAAAGGAUGAUCCAGCAAUGCUGCGUGAGUGAUGAAGUUGUGAGGGUUGUACAGCUCUUUUACACGGGAUGAUAAUGACAGUACCGAGAGAAUAAGCUCCGGCUAACUUCGUG